rnacentral:lncRNA from 1 species
GCAAGGAUGACCUUCUCUAAAAGGGACACAUGAAUACCAAGUGGUCCUGGGCUGCAUAGGAAAGCAGGCUGAGCAAGACAUAGAGAGGAAGACAACAAGUACCACUCCAUGGCCUACUUCAGUUCCUGCUUUGAAUUACUGCCUUGACUUCUCAAGAUAAUGGACUACAAAUGGAUAUGGGAGGCUUGAGCAAAUACUAUGAAUCUCUCAAGGAGCUAUGGAUUACCUUAAAAGGCUAGACAACAGAGCCACGGCACAGGAAGUCUGCCCUGGAUGCUAUCCUGCUGGGAAUUGGCCCUCUGAAACAGAUCCAUCCACCCGAUGAGUCAUGACAUUAAAAAUGAUGAAGGAAAUGGACUGGUCCCCAGACAAACAGCUCGGGGCAAUACGAUUCCUGCAUCCAAAGGACUAUGGGUUACAGACACCUCUCUCUUCUGGGAUACAACGUGUAAAAGCCGGAUUGAGAUCUCUAUGCCUGUUCUUCAACUGCUGUGGCUACCACUAUUCCAAGAGACAGAAUAAGAAAGUUAAAGACAACAAGAAAUGGGUCUGUAAGGCCCGAAGUGAGUGGUGUGGCAAACGACUGGACUCACUCACAUGAAUAUAAGGCUAAUCCAUUCAGGAACAGACUAAGUCUCGUCCUGACCUACUUGUCGUUUUUCUGUAAAGACCACUCGAGGUUUUAUCAACUUGAUCAACAGGUAUGUUCAUAGUAAACCCGAGUAACCAUUUUUGUACAGUGAAUAAAGUAUUUUUAAUAAUCCAGAUUUUAUUUAAA